AGAGUUUGAUCAUGGCUCAGAACGAACGCUGGCGGCAGGCCUAACACAUGCAAGUCGAAGGAGAAGCCGGACUUCGGUCCGGUGGAAACUGGCGCACGGGUGAGUAACGCGUGGGUAUCUACCUUGGGGUGGGGAAUAACCGCUGGAAACGGCGGCUAAUACCGCAUACGCCUUUAGAGGGAAAGCUCCGGCGCCCUAAGAGGAGCCCGCGUUGGAUUAGCUUGUUGGUGGGGUAAAGGCCUACCAAGGCUACGAUCUAUAGCUGGUCUGAGAGGAUGAUCAGCCACACUGGGACUGAGAUACGGCCCAGACUCCUACGGGAGGCAGCAGUGGGGAAUAUUGGACAAUGGGCGCAAGCCUGAUCCAGCCAUGCCGCGUGAGUGAAGAAGGCCUUAGGGUUGUAAAGCUCUUUCACCUGCGAAGAUGAUGACGGUAGCAGGAAGAAGAAGCCCCGGCUAACUCCCGUGCCAGCAGCCGCGGUAAUACGGAGGGGGCUAGCGUUGUUCGGAUUUACUGGGCGUAAAGGGCGCGUAGGCGGUAUGUCAUGUCAGGGGUGAAAGGCCUGGGCUCAACCCAGGAACUGCCUUUGAAACUGGCAAACUAGAGUCCGAUAGAGGAUGGCGGAAUUCCCAGUGUAGAGGUGAAAUUCGUAGAUAUUGGGAAGAACACCAGUGGCGAAGGCGGCCAUCUGGAUCGGCACUGACGCUGAGGCGCGAAAGCGUGGGGAGCAAACAGGAUUAGAUACCCUGGUAGUCCACGCCGUAAACGAUGUGUGCUAGACGUUGGGGGCCUUAGGCCCUGAGUGUCGCAGCUAACGCGUUAAGCACACCGCCUGGGGAGUACGGCCGCAAGGUUAAAACUCAAAGGAAUUGACGGG
rnacentral:rRNA from 1 species